AGAGUUUGAUCCUGGCUCAGGAUGAACGCUAGCUACAGGCUUAACACAUGCAAGUCGAGGGGCAGCGGGAUUGAAGCUUGCUUCAAUUGCCGGCGACCGGCGCACGGGUGAGUAACGCGUAUCCAACCUUCCGUACACUCAGGGAUAGCCUUUCGAAAGAAAGAUUAAUACCUGAUGGUAUGAUGAGAUUGCAUGGUAUCAUCAUUAAAGAUUUAUCGGUGUACGAUGGGGAUGCGUUCCAUUAGGUAGUAGGCGGGGUAACGGCCCACCUAGCCAACGAUGGAUAGGGGUUCUGAGAGGAAGGUCCCCCACAUUGGAACUGAGACACGGUCCAAACUCCUACGGGAGGCAGCAGUGAGGAAUAUUGGUCAAUGGACGAGAGUCUGAACCAGCCAAGUAGCGUGAAGGAUGAAGGUCCUACGGAUUGUAAACUUCUUUUAUAAGGGAAUAAACCCUCCCACGUGUGGGAGCUUGUAUGUACCUUAUGAAUAAGCAUCGGCUAACUCCGUGCCAGCAGCCGCGGUAAUACGGAGGAUGCGAGCGUUAUCCGGAUUUAUUGGGUUUAAAGGGAGCGCAGACGGGUCGUUAAGUCAGCUGUGAAAGUUUGGGGCUCAACCUUAAAAUUGCAGUUGAUACUGGCGUCCUUGAGUGCGGUUGAGGUGUGCGGAAUUCGUGGUGUAGCGGUGAAAUGCUUAGAUAUCACGAAGAACUCCGAUUGCGAAGGCAGCACACUAAGCCGUAACUGACGUUCAUGCUCGAAAGUGUGGGUAUCAAACAGGAUUAGAUACCCUGGUAGUCCACACGGUAAACGAUGGAUACUCGCUGUUGGCGAUAUACUGUCAGCGGCUUAGCGAAAGCGUUAAGUAUCCCACCUGGGGAGUACGCCGGCAACGGUGAAACUCAAAGGAAUUGACGGGGGCCCGCACAAGCGGAGGAACAUGU
rnacentral:rRNA from 1 species